rnacentral:rRNA from 1 species
GAUGAACGCUGGCGGCGUGCCUAAUACAUGCAAGUCGAGCGAACGGACGAGAAGCUUGCUUCUCUGAUGUUAGCGGCGGACGGGUGAGUAACACGUGGAUAACCUACCUAUAAGACUGGGAUAACUUCGUGAAACCGGAGCUAAUACCGGAUAAUAUUUUGAACCGCAUGGUUCAAAAGUGAAAGACGGUCUUGCUGUCACUUAUAGAUGGAUCCGCGCUGCAUUAGCUAGUUGGUAAGGUAACGGCUUACCAAGGCAACGAUGCAUAGCCGACCUGAGGGGGUGAUCGGCCACACUGGAACUGAGACACGGUCCAGACUCCUACGGGAGGCAGCAGUAGGGAAUCUUCCGCAAUGGGCGAAAGCCUGACGGAGCAACGCCGCGUGAGUGAUGAAGGUCUUCGGAUCGUAAAGCUCUUUUAUUAGGGAAGAACAUAUGUGUAAGUAACUCUGCACAUCUUGACGGUACCUAAUCAGAAAGCCACGGCUAACUACGUG